GAUGAAGAACGCAGCGAAAUGCGAUAAGUAAUGUGAAUUGCAGAAUUCAGUGAAUCAUCGAAUCUUUGAACGCACAUUGCGCCCGCUAGUAUUCUGGCGGGCAUGCCUGUCCGAGCGUCAUUUCAACCCUCAAGCCCCUGGGCUUGGUGUUGGGGAUCGGCGAGCCUCCGCGCCCGCCGUCCCCUAAAUCUAGUGGCGGUCUCGCUGUAGCUUCCUCUGCGUAGUAGCACACCUCGCACUGGGAAACAGCGCGGCCACGCCGUUAAACCCCCAACUUCUGAACGUUUGACCUCGGAUCAGGUAGGAAUACCCGCUGAACUUAAGCAUAUCAAUAAGCGGAGGA
rnacentral:misc_RNA from 1 species